rnacentral:tRNA from 1 species
CGAGGUAUGGCGCAGUCCGGUUAGCGCACCUGCUUUGGGAGCAGGGGGCCGUAGGUUCGAAUCCUACUACCUCGA